AGCGAACGCUGGCGGCAGGCUUAACACAUGCAAGUCGAACGGGCACUUCGGUGCUAGUGGCAGACGGGUGAGUAACACGUGGGAACGUACCUUUCGGUUCGGAAUAAUACAGGGAAACUUGUACUAAUACCGGAUACGCCCUUUGGGGGAAAGAUUUAUCGCCGAUUGAUCGGCCCGCGUCUGAUUAGCUAGUUGGUGAGGUAAUGGCUCACCAAGGCGACGAUCAGUAGCUGGUCUGAGAGGAUGAUCAGCCACACUGGGACUGAGACACGGCCCAGACUCCUACGGGAGGCAGCAGUGGGGAAUAUUGGACAAUGGGCGCAAGCCUGAUCCAGCCAUGCCGCGUGAGUGAUGAAGGCCUUAGGGUUGUAAAGCUCUUUUGUCCGGGAAGAUAAUGACUGUACCGGAAGAAUAAGCCCCGGCUAACUUCGUG
rnacentral:rRNA from 1 species